rnacentral:rRNA from 1 species
AUUGAACGCUGGCGGCAUGCCUUACACAUGCAAGUCGAACGGCAGCACGGGAGCAAUCCUGGUGGCGAGUGGCGAACGGGUGAGUAAUGUAUCGGAACGUACCUUUCAGUGGGGGAUAACGUAGCGAAAGUUACGCUAAUACCGCAUAUUCUGUGAGCAGGAAAGCAGGGGAUCGCAAGACCUUGCGCUGAUUGAGCGGCCGAUAUCAGAUUAGCUAGUUGGUGAGGUAAAGGCUCACCAAGGCGACGAUCUGUAGCGGGUCUGAGAGGAUGAUCCGCCACACUGGAACUGAGACACGGUCCAGACUCCUACGGGAGGCAGCAGUGGGAAUUUUGGACAAGUGGGCGCAAGCCUGAUCCAGCCAUGCCGCGUGAGUGAAGAAGG